UGGGGAAUAUUGGACAAUGGGGGCAACCCUGAUCCAGCAAUGCCGCGUGAGUGAUGAAGGCCUUAGGGUUGUAAAGCUCUUUCGGCGGGGACGAUGAUGACGGUACCCGCAGAAGAAGCCCCGGCUAACUUCGUGCCAGCAGCCGCGGUAAUACGAAGGGGGCUAGCGUUGUUCGGAAUUACUGGGCGUAAAGGGCGCGCAGGCGGUUUUGGAAGUCAGGCGUGAAAGCCCCGGGCUCAACCUGGGAACUGCGCUUGAUACUCUGAGACUAGAGUUCGGGAGAGGAGAGUGGAAUUCCCAGUGUAGAGGUGAAAUUCGUAGAUAUUGGGAAGAACACCGGUGGCGAAGGCGGCUCUCUGGACCGAUACUGACGCUGAGGCGCGAAAGCGUGGGGAGCAAACAG
rnacentral:rRNA from 1 species